GUCAAGCUUCCAAGAAAAGCCCUAUACCCGUUAAGGCAUGAUUACCUGUACCCGAAACCGACACAGGUGGGGUGGUAGAGAAUACCGAGGGGCGCGAGGUAACUCUCUCUAAGGAACUCGGCAAAAUGACCCCGUAACUUCGGGAGAAGGGGUGCCAGCGCGAGCUGGUCGCAGUGAAUAGGCCCAGGCGACUGUUUUACCAAAAACACAGGUCUCCGCUAAGUCGCAAGACGAUGUAUGGGGGCUGACGCCUGCCCAGUGCCGGAAGGUUAAAGAAGUUGGUCAGCGCAAGCGAAGCUAACGACUGAAGCCCCGGUGAACGGCGGCCGUAACAAUAACGGUCCUAAGGUAGCGAAAUUCCUUGUCGGGUAAGUUCCGACCCGCACGAAAGGCGUAACGAUCUGGGCGCUGUCUCGGAGAGAGGCGAAAUAGAAUUGUCUGUGAAGAUGCGGACUACGUGCACCCGGACAGAAAGACCCUAUGAAGCUUUACUGUAGCUUGGUAUUGUGCUCGGGCUCGCAAUGCGCAGGAUAGGUGGGAGGCUUUGAUCCAUUGCUUGUGGGUGAUGGUGAGCCACUGGUGAGAUACCACUCUUUGCGAGCUAGGGUUCUAACGGUUACCCGUCAUCCGGGAACCGGACAGUAUCUGGUGGGCAGUUUGACUGGGGCGGUCGCCUCCUAAAAGGUAACGGAGGCGCGCAAAGGUUUGCUCAGGCUGGUUGGAAAUCAGCCGACGAGUGUAAAAGCAGAAGCAAGCUUGACUGUGAGACCUACAAGUCGAACAGGGAGGAAACUCGGCUUUAGUGAUCCGACGGUUCUGAGUGGAAGGGCCGUCGCUCAACGGAUAAAAGUUACUCUAAGGAUAACAGGCUGAUCUCCCCCAAGAGUUCACAUCGACGGGGAGGUUUGGCACCUCGAUGUCGGCUCAUCGCAACCUGGGGCUGAAGUCGGUCCCAAGGGUUGGGCUGUUCGCCCAUUAAAGCGGUACGCGAGCUGGGUUCAGAACGUCGUGAGACAGUUCGGUCCAUAUCCGGUGCAUGCGCAGGAAUAUUGAGAGGAUUUCUCCCUAGUACGAGAGGACCGGGAGGAACGCACCUCUGGUGUACCAGUUAUCGUGCCAACGGUAAACGCUGGGUAGCCAUGUGCGGAGUGGAUAACCGCUGAAAGCAUCUAAGUGGGAAGCCCACCUCAAGAUGAGUAUUCCCAUGGCUUAAGCCAGUAAGGUCACGGGAAGAACACCCGUUGAUAGGCUCUAUGUGGAAGCGCAGUAAUGCGUGAAGCAGAGGAGUACUAAUAGACCGAGGGC
rnacentral:rRNA from 1 species